GGGUUGUGAGGUUAAGCGACUAAGCGUACACGGUGGAUGCCCUGGCAGUCAGAGGCGAUGAAGGACGUGCUAAUCUGCGAUAAGCGUCGGUAAGGUGAUAUGAACCGUUAUAACCGGCGAUUUCCGAAUGGGGAAACCCAGUGUGUUUCGACACACUAUCAUUAACUGAAUCCAUAGGUUAAUGAGGCGAACCGGGGGAACUGAAACAUCUAAGUACCCCGAGGAAAAGAAAUCAACCGAGAUUCCCCCAGUAGCGGCGAGCGAACGGGGAGCAGCCCAGAGCCUGAAUCAGUGUGUGUGUUAGUGGAAGCGUCUGGAAAGGCGCGCGAUACAGGGUGACAGCCCCGUACACAAAAAUGCACAUGCUGUGAGCUCGAUGAGUAGGGCGGGACACGUGGUAUCCUGUCUGAAUAUGGGGGGACCAUCCUCCAAGGCUAAAUACUCCUGACUGACCGAUAGUGAACCAGUACCGUGAGGGAAAGGCGAAAAGAACCCCGGCGAGGGGAGUGAAAAAGAACCUGAAACCGUGUACGUACAAGCAGUGGGAGCACGCUUAGGCGUGUGACUGCGUACCUUUUGUAUAAUGGGUCAGCGACUUAUAUUCUGUAGCAAGGUUAACCGAAUAGGGGAGCCGAAGGGAAACCGAGUCUUAACUGGGCGUUAAGUUGCAGGGUAUAGACCCGAAACCCGGUGAUCUAGCCAUGGGCAGGUUGAAGGUUGGGUAACACUAACUGGAGGACCGAACCGACUAAUGUUGAAAAAUUAGCGGAUGACUUGUGGCUGGGGGUGAAAGGCCAAUCAAACCGGGAGAUAGCUGGUUCUCCCCGAAAGCUAUUUAGGUAGCGCCUCGUGAAUUCAUCUCCGGGGGUAGAGCACUGUUUCGGCAAGGGGGUCAUCCCGACUUACCAACCCGAUGCAAACUGCGAAUACCGGAGAAUGUUAUCACGGGAGACACACGGCGGGUGCUAACGUCCGUCGUGAAGAGGGAAACAACCCAGACCGCCAGCUAAGGUCCCAAAGUCAUGGUUAAGUGGGAAACGAUGUGGGAAGGCCCAGACAGCCAGGAUGUUGGCUUAGAAGCAGCCAUCAUUUAAAGAAAGCGUAAUAGCUCACUGGUCGAGUCGGCCUGCGCGGAAGAUGUAACGGGGCUAAACCAUGCACCGAAGCUGCGGCAGCGACACUAUGUGUUGUUGGGUAGGGGAGCGUUCUGUAAGCCUGUGAAGGUGUGCUGUGAGGCAUGCUGGAGGUAUCAGAAGUGCGAAUGCUGACAUAAGUAACGAUAAAGCGGGUGAAAAGCCCGCUCGCCGGAAGACCAAGGGUUCCUGUCCAACGUUAAUCGGGGCAGGGUGAGUCGACCCCUAAGGCGAGGCCGAAAGGCGUAGUCGAUGGGAAACAGGUUAAUAUUCCUGUACUUGGUGUUACUGCGAAGGGGGGACGGAGAAGGCUAUGUUGGCCGGGCGACGGUUGUCCCGGUUUAAGCGUGUAGGCUGGUUUUCCAGGCAAAUCCGGAAAAUCAAGGCUGAGGCGUGAUGACGAGGCACUACGGUGCUGAAGCAACAAAUGCCCUGCUUCCAGGAAAAGCCUCUAAGCAUCAGGUAACAUCAAAUCGUACCCCAAACCGACACAGGUGGUCAGGUAGAGAAUACCAAGGCGCUUGAGAGAACUCGGGUGAAGGAACUAGGCAAAAUGGUGCCGUAACUUCGGGAGAAGGCACGCUGAUAUGUAGGUGAGGUCCCUCGCGGAUGGAGCUGAAAUCAGUCGAAGAUACCAGCUGGCUGCAACUGUUUAUUAAAAACACAGCACUGUGCAAACACGAAAGUGGACGUAUACGGUGUGACGCCUGCCCGGUGCCGGAAGGUUAAUUGAUGGGGUUAGCGCAAGCGAAGCUCUUGAUCGAAGCCCCGGUAAACGGCGGCCGUAACUAUAACGGUCCUAAGGUAGCGAAAUUCCUUGUCGGGUAAGUUCCGACCUGCACGAAUGGCGUAAUGAUGGCCAGGCUGUCUCCACCCGAGACUCAGUGAAAUUGAACUCGCUGUGAAGAUGCAGUGUACCCGCGGCAAGACGGAAAGACCCCGUGAACCUUUACUAUAGCUUGACACUGAACAUUGAGCCUUGAUGUGUAGGAUAGGUGGGAGGCUUUGAAGUGUGGACGCCAGUCUGCAUGGAGCCGACCUUGAAAUACCACCCUUUAAUGUUUGAUGUUCUAACGUUGACCCGUAAUCCGGGUUGCGGACAGUGUCUGGUGGGUAGUUUGACUGGGGCGGUCUCCUCCUAAAGAGUAACGGAGGAGCACGAAGGUUGGCUAAUCCUGGUCGGACAUCAGGAGGUUAGUGCAAUGGCAUAAGCCAGCUUGACUGCGAGCGUGACGGCGCGAGCAGGUGCGAAAGCAGGUCAUAGUGAUCCGGUGGUUCUGAAUGGAAGGGCCAUCGCUCAACGGAUAAAAGGUACUCCGGGGAUAACAGGCUGAUACCGCCCAAGAGUUCAUAUCGACGGCGGUGUUUGGCACCUCGAUGUCGGCUCAUCACAUCCUGGGGCUGAAGUAGGUCCCAAGGGUAUGGCUGUUCGCCAUUUAAAGUGGUACGCGAGCUGGGUUUAGAACGUCGUGAGACAGUUCGGUCCCUAUCUGCCGUGGGCGCUGGAGAACUGAGGGGGGCUGCUCCUAGUACGAGAGGACCGGAGUGGACGCAUCACUGGUGUUCGGGUUGUCAUGCCAAUGGCACUGCCCGGUAGCUAAAUGCGGAAGAGAUAAGUGCUGAAAGCAUCUAAGCACGAAACUUGCCCCGAGAUGAGUUCUCCCUGACCCUUUAAGGGUCCUGAAGGAACGUUGAAGACGACGACGUUGAUAGGCCGGGUGUGUAAGCGCAGCGAUGCGUUGAGCUAACCGGUACUAAUGAACCGUGAGGCUUAACCUUACAACGCCGAAGCUGUU
rnacentral:rRNA from 1 species